rnacentral:rRNA from 1 species
UACGAAGGGGGCUAGCGUUGUUCGGAAUUACUGGGCGUAAAGCGCACGUAGGCGGAUUUGUAAGUCAGGGGUGAAAUCCCGGGGCUCAACCUCGGAACUGCCUUUGAUACUGCAAGUCUCGAGUCCGGUAGAGGUGAGUGGAAUUCCUAGUGUAGAGGUGAAAUUCGUAGAUAUUGGGAAGAACACCGGUGGCGAAGGCGGCUCUCUGGACCGAGACUGACGCUGAGGCGCGAAAGCGUGGGGAGCAAACAGG